rnacentral:rRNA from 1 species
UACGUAGGUGACCAGCGUUGUCCGGAUUUACUGGGCGUAAAGAGCGCGCAGGCGGUCGUUCAAGUCGAGUGUGAAAGCCCCCGGCUCAACUGGGGAGGGUCACUCGAUACUGAUCGACUUGAAGGCAGGAGAGGGAAGCGGAAUUCCCGGUGUAGCGGUGGAAUGCGUAGAGAUCCGGAAGAACACCGGUGGCGAAGGCGGCCUGCUGGGCAGUGGCUGACACUGAGGCGCGACAGCGUGGGGAGCAAACAGG